rnacentral:lncRNA from 1 species
CACACACACACACACAGCCCGUCUCGCGCCUGAGGUCUCGCCCGCAGGCCGGUGGCGCGGGGUCAGCUGCUGCGUGCGGUCCAGGACAGGGUCGGUUCCGCCGCGCAGCGCCCAGGCCCAGCUCGUCCAGAGUCUGCGGACAGCGCACGUCCAGGCACUUUCCCACACAGGAUGGAGCUGGGCCAUCCUCACAGCUCCUGCCCUGGAGACGCUGGCCUUGUGGAGGGAGGCGGGCAGCAGGAGCAGUGCUUUCUGGGCCUCUGUGGCCAGAGCUGGCCCUGCUGCAGCUCACUUCUGCCUGCAGCCCAGACGUCCUCCUGGUCCUCCUGAUGCCCCCGACCUCCAUGGAGGACGAGCAUUUCCAGCCCAGCCCUCCCCGUCUUCACCUCGCACUGCCCUGACACACUGGGAGCCUCCUGAUCCGUGAACCCGCGCUGGCGGGAGUAGCUACUGACCGCUGGGGACCCCUGCCCAGGCUGUUCGCAUGUGGAAAGGAUUCAGGGAGCAGGCGAUGCCCAAAGCGUGGAGACCAGCACUGCUCUCUCCCCAGCGACAGGUGCACGCCCAGAUCACGGAUGUGUCGGGAACAGCUGUGCUCCUGCUGCUCAGCGUCCGUCACUCCAGGCUGGGAGCGGGUCCCCAAGCUUCCGGCUGGGCCUAUCCGUCUCCACUCUCAGUGUGGGGGUGGGGGGCGCCAACAGCACGCAUUUGCUCUCUGCACUUCUCGUCUGAUAAUGGGCAGAGGGUCCUUCUGCAGCCCCAAAACAUCCCUAGGCAGGAGCCCUGGGGCCCCAAGCAGCCAGGGAGGUGAGC